AUAAGGGCGCACGGUGGAUGCCUUGGCACUAGGAGCCGAUGAAGGACGGGACUAACACCGAUAUGCUUUGGGGAGCUGUACGUAAGCUAUGAUCCAGAGAUUUCCGAAUGGGGGAACCCAGCAUCUUUUAUAGGAUGUUACGUUUGCGUGAAUACAUAGCGCAUUCGAGGUAGACGCAGAGAACUGAAACAUCUAAGUACCUGCAGGAAGAGAAAGAAAAUUCGAUUCCCUGAGUAGCGGCGAGCGAAACGGGAAAAGCCCAAACCAAUGAGCUUGCUCAUUGGGGUUGUAGGACUCCAAUAUGGUAGUUCUUUCAGAUAGUCGAAUGACUUGGAAAAGUCAGUCAAAGAGGGUAAAAACCCCGUAGAUGAAAUUUGGAAGGCACCUAGGAGGAUCCUGAGUACGGCGGAACACGAGGAAUUCCGUCGGAAUCUGGGAGGACCAUCUCCCAAGGCUAAAUACUCCCUAGUGACCGAUAGUGAACCAGUACCGUGAGGGAAAGGUGAAAAGCACCCCGGAAGGGGAGUGAAAUAGAACCUGAAACCGUGUGCCUACAACAAGUCAAAGCCCGUUAAUGGGUGAUGGCGUGCCUUUUGUAGAAUGAACCGGCGAGUUACGAUUGCAUGCGAGGUUAAGUUGAAGAGACGGAGCCGCAGCGAAAGCGAGUCUGAAUAGGGCGUUUGAGUAUGUAGUCGUAGACCCGAAACCAUGUGAUCUACCCAUGUCCAGGUUGAAGGUGCGGUAAAACGCACUGGAGGACCGAACCCACGUACGUUGAAAAGUGCGGGGAUGAGGUGUGGGUAGCGGAGAAAUUCCAAACGAACUUGGAGAUAGCUGGUUCUCUCCGAAAUAGCUUUAGGGCUAGCCUCGGAAUUGAGAAUGAUGGAGGUAGAGCACUGUUUGGACUAGGGGCCCAUCUCGGGUUACCGAAUUCAGAUAAACUCCGAAUGCCAUUCAUUCAUAUCCGGGAGUCAGACUGUGAGUGAUAAGAUCCAUAGUCGAAAGGGAAACAGCCCAGACCACCAGCUAAGGUCCCAAAAUAUAUGUUAAGUGGAAAAGGAUGUGGGGUUGCACAGACAACUAGGAUGUUGGCUUAGAAGCAGCCACCAUUUAAAGAGUGCGUAAUAGCUCACUAGUCGAGUGACCCUGCGCCGAAAAUGUACCGGGGCUAAACAUAUUACCGAAGCUGUGGAGUACACCUUUAGGUGUAUUGGUAGGAGAGCGUUCUAAGGGCGUUGAAGGCAGAUCGUGAGGACUGCUGGAGCGCUUAGAAGUGAGAAUGCCGGUAUGAGUAGCGAAAGACAGGUGAGAAUCCUGUCCACCGAAUGACUAAGGUUUCCUGGGGAAGGCUCGUCCGCCCAGGGUUAGUCGGGACCUAAGCCGAGGCCGACAGGCGUAGGCGAUGGACAACAGGUUGAUAUUCCUGUACUCGUUGUUUUUGUUUGAGCAAUGGAGGGACGCAGGAGGCUAAGGAAUGCAGACGAUUGGAAAUGUCUGUCUAAGCAGUAAGUCU
rnacentral:rRNA from 1 species